UGCAGAGGUCCCAAGCGUUGUUCGGAUUCAUUGGGCGUAAAGGGUGCGUAGGCGGCGCGGUAAGUCGGGUGUGAAAUCUCGGAGCUUAACUCCGAAACUGCAUUCGAUACUGCCGUGCUUGAGGACUGGAGAGGAGACUGGAAUUUACGGUGUAGCGGUGAAAUGCGUAGAUAUCGUAAGGAAGACCAGUGGCGAAGGCGGGUCUCUGGACAGUUCCUGACGCUGAGGCACGAAGGUCAGGGGGAGCAAACGGG
rnacentral:rRNA from 1 species